rnacentral:rRNA from 1 species
GAUGAACGCUAGCGGCAGGCUUAAUACAUGCAAGUCGAGGGGUAGCAAGAUUGUAGCAAUACAAUUGUUGACGACCGGCAAACGGGUGCGGAACACGUACACAACCUUCCUACAAGUGGGGAAUAGCCCAGAGAAAUUUGGAUUAAUACCCCGUAACAUAGCGAUGUGGCAUCACAUUGCUAUUAUAGCUUCGGCGCUUGGUGAUGGGUGUGCGGCUGAUUGGAUAGUUGGCGGGGUAACGGCCCACCAAGUCUACGAUCAGUAGCUGAUGGGCAAACAGAAGCGGCCAGUCUGACACAGUGACGCGGGCCCUCAUGCUACGAGAGGCAGGAGUAAUGAAUAGUGAAUAAUAAACUCAAAUCUGGACCAGCCAGGCAGCGUGAAGCUUUAAGGUCCUCUUGAUUGUAAACUGCUUUUAUAGGGAACGAAAAAAGGUCUUUCUAGAUCGUCUGACGGUACCUUAUGAAUAAGCACCGGCUAACUCCGUGCCAGCCGCCGCCGUAACAC